CCAGGCUACUGAAACAGAUCUGGGACCAGGCUACUAAAACAGAUCUGGGACCAGGCUACUAAACAGAUCAGGGACCAGGUUACUAAAACAGAUCUGGGACCAGGCUACUAAAACAGAUCUGGGACCAGGCUACUAAACAGAUCUGGGACCAGGCUACUAAAACAGAUCUGGGACCAGGCUACUGAAACAGAUCUGGGACCAGGCUACUAAAACAGAUCUGGGACCAGGCUACUAAAACAGAUCAGGGACCAGGCUACUAAAACAGAUCUGGGACCAGGCUACUAAAACAGAUCUGCGACCAGGCUACUAAAACAGAUCUGGGACCAGGCUACUAAAACAGAU